rnacentral:rRNA from 1 species
CUGGGGAGUACGGCCGCAAGGUUAAAACUCAAAUGAAUUGACGGGGGCCCGCACAAGCGGUGGAGCAUGUGGUUUAAUUCGAUGCAACGCGAAGAACCUUACCUACUCUUGACAUCCACAGAAUUCGCUAGAGAUAGCUUAGUGCCUUCGGGAACUGUGAGACAGGUGCUGCAUGGCUGUCGUCAGCUCGUGUUGUGAAAUGUUGGGUUAAGUCCCGCAACGAGCGCAACCCUUAUCCUUUGUUGCCAGCACGUAAUGGUGGGA